GUUUGCUCUACUGACAGCGCUCCACUGGAAAUGGAGAGGUCCCGGGUUCGAUACCCGGAC
rnacentral:tRNA from 1 species